UACGAAGGGGGCUAGCGUUGUUCGGAAUUACUGGGCGUAAAGCGCACGUAGGCGGACAUUUAAGUCAGGGGUGAAAUCCUGGAGCUCAACUCCAGAACUGCCUUUGAUACUGAAGAUCUUGAGUUCGGGAGAGGUGAGUGGAACUGCGAGUGUAGAGGUGAAAUUCGUAGAUAUUCGCAAGAACACCAGUGGCGAAGGCGGCUCACUGGCCCGGUACUGACACUGAGGUGCGAAAGCGUGG
rnacentral:rRNA from 1 species